AUUGAACGCUGGCGGCAGGCCUAACACAUGCAAGUCGAGCGGAUGACGGGAGCUUGCUCCUUGAUUCAGCGGCGGACGGGUGAGUAAUGCCUAGGAAUCUGCCUGGUAGUGGGGGACAACGUUUCGAAAGGAACGCUAAUACCGCAUACGUCCUACGGGAGAAAGCAGGGGACCUUCGGGCCUUGCGCUGUCAGAUGAGCCUAGGUCGGAUUAGCUAGUUGGUGGGGUAAUGGCUCACCAAGGCGACGAUCCGUAACUGGUCUGAGAGGAUGAUCAGUCACACUGGAACUGAGACACGGUCCGGACUCCUACGGGAGGCAGCAGUGGGGAAUAUUGGACAAUGGGCGAAAGCCUGAUCCAGCCAUGCCGCGUGUGUGAAGAAGGUCUUCGGAUUGUAAAGCACUUUAAGUUGGGAGGAAGGGCAGUAAGCUAAUACCUUGCUGUUUUGACGUUACCGACAGAAUAAGCACCGGCUAACUCUGUGCCAGCCGCCGCCGUAAGAC
rnacentral:rRNA from 1 species